GACCAGACUCCUACGGGAGGCAGCAGUGGGGAAUAUUGCACAAUGGGGGAAACCCUGAUGCAGCGACGCCGCGUGAGUGAAGAAGUAUUUCGGUACGUAAAGCUCUAUCAGCAGGGAAGAAAAAAAGUCCUUUGGACUUUGGACGGUACCUGACCAAGAAGCCCCGGCUAACUACGUGCCAGCAGCCGCGGUAAUACGUAGGGGGCAAGCGUUAUCCGGAUUUACUGGGUGUAAAGGGAGCGUAGACGGCAGCGCAAGUCUGGAGUGAAAUGCCGGGGCCCAACCCCGGAACUGCUUUGGAAACUGUGCAGCUCGAGUGCAGGAGAGGUAAGCGGAAUUCCUAGUGUAGCGGUGAAAUGCGUAGAUAUUAGGAGGAACCCCGAUUGCGAAGGCAGCCUGCCGCAGCGUUACUGACGCUGAAGCUCGAAAGCGCGGGUAUCGAACAGGAUUAGAUACCCGUGUAAC
rnacentral:rRNA from 1 species